rnacentral:tRNA from 1 species
UGGGGUGUGGCUCAGUGGUAAAGCACUUGCCUCCCACAUGUGAAGCACUGAGUUCGAUCCUCAGCACCACAU